rnacentral:rRNA from 1 species
GACGUAGGGCGCGAGCGUUGUCCGGAUUUAUUGGGCGUAAAGAGCUCGUAGGCGGCUUGUCGCGUCGAAUGUGAAAUCUCAGGGCUCAACUCUGACAUUGCAUUCGAUACGGGCAGGCUAGAGUGCGGUAGGGGAGACUGGAAUUCCUGGUGUAGCGGUGAAAUGCGCAGAUAUCAGGAGGAACACCGGUGGCGAAGGCGGGUCUCUGGGCCGUAACUGAUGCUGAGGAGCGAAAGCGUGGGGAGCGAACAGG